GACGAAGAGCUGGAAUAGAGCUCGCCUCGGCUCUGCUGGCCUUGGCUGCAGCUCUUCCAGAAACCCGGGGCGCCCACAGAAGAAUCUCUUACCUGAUCGGCUCACACCAGUCUUCCAGGACCACCUUCUGGAUGCCAAGGCUGCUGCUCGAGUACCUGNNNNNNNNNNNNNNNNNNNNNNNNNNNNNNNNNCUCCCUCCUGGUCCCCCAGCCACUCCCUCAAGUUGCCUGCAUGUUAUAUGGCCUAGCCAAGGAGCACGGAUUCCAGGAACCCACUACCAUACAGAGCAACUCCUUGUGGACCCCCCUGGGAUCAGGACAGCGAGGGACAAGCGACAAAGAGGAUCAUCAGUGGCCAGCUAGUUUCUCUGGGGUUCAAACCUUGAACCAGUGCCCUAGUGAGGGGGCACUGGCCAUGGCCCUUGACCUUUGCUCUGCUUGUGUCUUGAGUCUGAGCCCUUUCCUGUACAUCUGUGCUCGUGUUCAUCUGCUAGUGAACUGGAGUGCUGCCCUCCCCGAGGAGGGUCGUCCCUUGUGACUGAUCAUGCUGUCCUAACAAUGUCCUGAGCAAAAGGGUCCCUUUGGGAACCUCUCAGGAGGGGGACCCGGGUCAGGGGCGACCAGCAUCUUGCUGGCAACUCCGUGGGUGGGGUGGGGUGGGGUGCUUCCUUCUGGAAUGAGCACGUGGCUGACCCCCCAAGGCAUGUCCCCUCCCCCUCCUCCACCCACCUUCUCGGAGAUGUCCCUUUUGGGGUAGUGGGGACAUUAGGAGCAACCUCCUAGGGUUGUUGUGAGAAUUAAAUGAACUGCAGCAGCCUGAGGCAGGGCUGGGCAGAGACCUCAGCACAUGUUUGUUGAAAGGUUUGCAGGUGGAUCUAGUCCUCCCGUUCAUGGCUCAUGUGUCUCAACCAUUCUCUCGCAGACUCCUGCAGCCCCUAUGCCCAGGGCUCUCCUUGCGCCAGAGGUAGGUGGGAAAGAGAACUGGGAGAGCCCGGACUCACUCAUGAGAUUGAACUUAAAUUCACACGGAGGACACUUGGACUCUUGCCACAUUAGCCCCGGCUUCUCGAGGCCUGUCUACACUCGCUGCUUUCCUUCCUCACCUCCAAUUUCCCCUCCAACCCACUGCUUCCUGACUCGCUCUUCUCCAUCGAACGGCUCUCGCUCAGGUUUAAGGCUUGGCUUGCUGGCCCUGGAGAUCCCGUCGCCGUCUUCGUCGAACUCGAAAUCCUAGCCAUCGUCCUUCCCUGGCCUGUCGCGUCUUCCUGUGCCAUUUGCUGUUGUGCUCAGGUUCCACGAGCUGCCCAUCUCCACAGAAGAGCAGCUGGCAUUGCCCACCGGCCAUGCCGGCUGAAGAAAAGAAGACUGAGGACCCCAGGAUGCCCAGCGCGAGGACCCCAGGAAGCCCAGCGCGAGGACUCCACCCACGACGCCCAGCGCGAGGACUUCACGCACAACACGUUGCAACCCUCCUGGAUUAGGCCAAAGCCAUCAUCUGGAAUCCUGCGUGGGACCCUGGACACACGGACACAGACACCUGCCCCCAGGACCCUCCAACUGUAAAUCCCUCUACAGCCACGGGGACGCCUUGCACAUUUCCUGUGGGACAUGCUGGACCCAAGACUCUGGACCCUGGCCUCCCCUUGAGUAGAGAGACCCACCUACUGACUGAUGAACUGCGCUGACCCUGGGGUCAGGCAUGUGGCCUUGAUCCCUACCCAUGGACCCUGAGACUUGGGGGGGUGGGAGAAAGGCUGUUGUGUCUUCACUGUUGAGUCUACAUCUGUGAAAUGGGCUCAGGUUCCUACCUCACAGGGCUGUUGUGAGGCAGCCGCAAUGUGCUUAGAAGCAUGGGGCCUAGUGGCUCAUGGUGCUUUCAAUAAAUUUCUUGUUUUAA
ensembl:lincRNA Meg3 maternally expressed 3